GUCGAGCGGACAGAUGGGAGCUUGCUCCCUGAUGUUAGCGGCGGACGGGUGAGUAACACGUGGGUAACCUGCCUGUAAGACUGGGAUAACUCCGGGAAACCGGGGCUAAUACCGGAUGGUUGUCUGAACCGCAUGGUUCAGACAUAAAAGGUGGCUUCGGCUACCACUUACAGAUGGACCCGCGGCGCAUUAGCUAGUUGGUGAGGUAACGGCUCACCAAGGCGACGAUGCGUAGCCGACCUGAGAGGGUGAUCGGCCACACUGGGACUGAGACACGGCCCAGACUCCUACGGGAGGCAGCAGUAGGGAAUCUUCCGCAAUGGACGAAAGUCUGACGGAGCAACGCCGCGUGAGUGAUGAAGGUUUUCGGAUCGUAAAGCUCUGUUGUUAGGGAAGAACAAGUGCCGUUCAAAUAGGGCGGCACCUUGACGGUACCUAACCAGAAAGCCACGGCUAACUACGUGCCAGCAGCCGCGGUAAUACGUAGGUGGCAAGCGUUGUCCGGAAUUAUUGGGCGUAAAGGGCUCGCAGGCGGUUUCUUAAGUCUGAUGUGAAAGCCCCCGGCUCAACCGGGGAGGGUCAUUGGAAACUGGGGAACUUGAGUGCAGAAGAGGAGAGUGGAAUUCCACGUGUAGCGGUGAAAUGCGUAGAGAUGUGGAGGAACACCAGUGGCGAAGGCGACUCUCUGGUCUGUAACUGACGCUGAGGAGCGAAAGCGUGGGGAGCGAACAGGAUUAGAUACCCUGGUAGUCCACGCCGUAAACGAUGAGUG
rnacentral:rRNA from 1 species